CUCAGGAUGAACGCUAGCGGCAGGCUUAACACAUGCAAGUCGAGGGGUAUAUGUCUUCGGAUAUAGAGACCGGCGCACGGGUGCGUAACGCGUAUGCAAUCUACCUUUUACAGAGGGAUAGCCCAGAGAAAUUUGGAUUAAUACCUCAUAGUAUAGUGACUCGGCAUCGAGAUACUAUUAAAGUCACAACGGUAAAAGAUGAGCAUGCGUCCCAUUAGCUAGUUGGUAAGGUAACGGCUUACCAAGGCUACGAUGGGUAGGGGUCCUGAGAGGGAGAUCCCCCACACUGGUACUGAGACACGGACCAGACUCCUACGGGAGGCAGCAGUGAGGAAUAUUGGACAAUGGGCGCAAGCCUGAUCCAGCCAUGCCGCGUGCAGGAUGACGGUCCUAUGGAUUGUAAACUGCUUUUGUACGAGAAGAAACACUCCUUCGUGAAGGAGCUUGACGGUAUCGUAAGAAUAAGGAUCGGCUAACUCCGUGCCAGCAGCCGCGGUAAUACGGAGGAUCCAAGCGUUAUCCGGAAUCAUUGGGUUUAAAGGGUCCGUAGGCGGUUUAGUAAGUCAGUGGUGAAAGCCCAUCGCUCAACGGUGGAACGGCCAUUGAUACUGCUAAACUUGAAUUAUUAGGAAGUAACUAGAAUAUGUAGUGUAGCGGUGAAAUGCUUAGAGAUUACAUGGAAUACCAAUUGCGAAGGCAGGUUACUACUAAUGGAUUGACGCUGAUGGACGAAAGCGUGGGUAGCGAACAGGAUUAGAUACCCUGGUAGUCCACGCCGUAAACGAUGGAUACUAGCUGUUGGAAGCAAUUUCAGUGGCUAAGCGAAAGUGAUAAGUAUCCCACCUGGGGAG
rnacentral:rRNA from 1 species